rnacentral:rRNA from 1 species
ACGUAGGGUCCGAGCGUUGUCCGGAGUUACUGGGCGUAAAGCGCGCGCAGGCGGUUGGUUGCGUCGGGUGUGAAAGCCCCCCGCUCAACGGGGGAGGGUCAUUCGAAACGGGCCAACUGGAGGCAGGGAGAGGUCGGUGGAAUUCCCGGUGUAGUGGUGAAAUGCGUAGAUAUCGGGAGGAACACCAGUGGCGAAGGCGGCCGGCUGGACCUGACCUGACGCUGAGGCGCGAAGGCGUGGGGAGCGAACGGGA